rnacentral:tRNA from 1 species
GGUAAUAUGGCCGAGCAGGUAUUAGACUGUAAAUCUAAGGACAGAGGUCAAGUCCUCUUAUUACCA